GCCGAGGCGCGCUGUCCGGGUGGUGGGAGCUCAACCCGCGACCGCGGCUACGAUUCUCUUGGCUCCUGCCCUCGCCUUAGUCGCUCUGCGGGGUUGGUUCGGUCCCGGCACUUCCAGAGGCCUCAGGGUCCUGGUCUUGUAGAGACUUCCUGAACGGUGGCGCCUGUUCCAGUGUGUGUGCGCUAACUGCCUGUUCUGUGCCAGCCGCGCGUGGCCGAAGGGCGGGAGGACGGGGGUUGUGGAGGGGAGGAUGGAGGUUGGGGAGACAGGGCGGGGACGAGAUAAGAGGUCGGGGGGUGGGGAGGAUGGUCGCGGGGCGGUCUGGGGCUGGAGACAAGGGGCCUGAGGUGCGGGUACGCACUGAACAUUCCAACCGUCCCCAGCCGGCCGGGUUUCAGGUUUGAAAAGGUGGGAAGGUUAGCUGUCCUGGCGCUUUUCCUCCACGUGUUGUGCGGCUCCGCUGGAGUUCGGGUCCAGCACCUUCUACUCCGAGGGAGAGAGCCGCGGGGAGAGCCCUGUUCGGGCCCGCGGCUCGAACUGACCGCCGGCUCUGCCGAGCAGCCUCGACCCCAGGGCACCCCCGGGAGAGAGGGCGCGGCUCAGGUCCCUGCCCGAACCCCUGGGGUGCUGAGAGACUCCCCAGCGCCCCGCGUGGGCUCCCGGCCUCUCCACAGUUGAGGAUCCUGUAAGGGGCGAGCCCUUUUUCCCAUAAUGGCUGUAGUGAGUGGGUGUGCUUUCCCGAUUGACCCGCUGUGAGGUGAGCGAUUUUAACCCACAUCCUUACUGACUUCACAGCACAGUAGGUGCUUCGUGGCUGUCCGGUGCAAGGAUGUAUAUACACACACACCUUUGCAAAAAAAGUUUGCAUCUCUUGCCUGGCUGUUUGUUGCAAUAAUCUAUCAUUUGUCUUUUCCUUUCCAGCAUUGCAGAUGAUCCCUUGAAAAGAAGUCUGAUCACAUUCACACUCUGCUCCGCCCAUUUCACUCAGUAAAGCUGAAGUCCUGCAGUGCUUUGCUCUGCCUCCGGUCACCCCGCCAUACUCCCAGACCCUCCCUCCCUCUCACUCCACUCCAGCUGCCCUGGCCUGGUUCAGAGUCCCUGACUCUUCCCUCCCCGGAAACACUUUCUGGCGGCUCUUGUCCCCGACUCUUCCCACCUGCUCUUUCAGUCUUUGCUCAAAUGUUGCCUCUUCAGUGUGGCCUAGGCCGUCACCACCCGGCCUUCACCGCAUACCUUUUUCUCUGCAACACCUACUCAACACACCGUACUAUAGAACUUACUGGCAUGCUAUAAAUGUAUUACCCUUAUCUGUUGCCUCUAACCAAAAGCGUGUUCCAUGAGAGCCAUGGGUCCCUGCCUACUUCUGUCUUGUUUCUGGGGCAGCCUCUGUACCUGGACAUCGUAUACUCUUAACACGGAUUUGUCAAAUCAAAUGAAAUUUAACAAUACAAACUUCACAAGUAUGCAUAGUGUAGGAAAAUUCCCCAAAAUUCAAAAUUUCAGUCUACCUCCAUCUUUUCAAAUGACCACAGUGCUUUAUAAAAUGACAUGGUCCUUU
rnacentral:lncRNA from 1 species